GGAGGUAUAGCUCAGUGGUAGAGUGCAUGCCUAGCACGCAUGAGGUCCUGGGUUCAAUUCCCAGUACCUCUA
rnacentral:tRNA from 1 species